rnacentral:rRNA from 1 species
UAGGGAAUCUUCGGCAAUGGACGGAAGUCUGACCGAGCAACGCCGCGUGAGUGAAGAAGGUUUUCGGAUCGUAAAGCUCUGUUGUAAGGGAAGAACGAGUGUGAGAGUGGAAAGUUCACACUGUGACGGUAUCUUACCAGAAAGGGACGGCUAACUACGUGCCAGCAGCCGCGGUAAUACGUAGGUCCCGAGCGUUGUCCGGAUUUAUUGGGCGUAAAGCGAGCGCAGGCGGUUAGAUAAGUCUGAAGUUAAAGGCUGUGGCUUAACCAUAGUACGCUUUGGAAACUGUUUAACUUGAGUGCAAGAGGGGAGAGUGGAAUUCCAUGUGUAGCGGUGAAAUGCGUAGAUAUAUGGAGGAACACCGGUGGCGAAAGCGGCUCUCUGGCUUGUAACUGACGCUGAGGCUCGAAAGCGUGGGGAGCAAACAGGAUUAGAUACCCUGGUAGUCCACGCCGUAAACGAUGAGUGCUAGGUGUUAGACCCUUUCCGGGGUUUAGUGCCGCAGCUAACGCAUUAAGCACUCCGCCUGGGGAGUACGACCGCAAGGUUG